CAGCCAUAUUAUGUUGAAAUACCAGUUCUGGUAUGAUCACUGAAGCUAAGCAACAUUGAGCCUGGUCAGUACCUAGAUGGGUGACUGCUUGGCAAUAUCAAAUGCUGU